UACGGAGGGAGCUAGCGUUGUUCGGAAUUACUGGGCGUAAAGCGCACGUAGGCGGCUUUGUAAGUUAGGGGGUGAAAGCCUGGAGCUCAACUUCAGAAUUGCCCUUAAGACUGCAUCGCUUGAAUCCAGGAGAGGUGAGUGGAAUUCCGAGUGUAGAGGUGAAAAUUCGUAGAUAUUCGGAAGAACACCAGUAGCGAAGGCGGCUCACUGGACUGGUAUUGACGCUGAGGUGCGAAAAGCGUGGGGAGCAA
rnacentral:rRNA from 1 species